rnacentral:rRNA from 1 species
GUGGGGAAUCUUGCGCAAUGGGCGAAAGCCUGACGCAGCCAUGCCGCGUGAAUGAUGAAGGUCUUAGGAUUGUAAAAUUCUUUCACCGGGGACGAUAAUGACGGUACCCGGAGAAGAAGCUCCGGCUAACUUCGUGCCAGCAGCCGCGGUAAUACGAAGGGGGCUAGCGUUGCUCGGAAUUACUGGGCGUAAAGGGCGCGUAGGCGGACAGCUUAGUCAGAGGUGAAAGCCCAGGGCUCAACCUUGGAAUUGCCUUUGAUACUGGCUGUCGUGAGUUUGGGAGAGGUGAGUGGAACUCCGAGUGUAGAGGUGAAAUUCGUAGAUAUUCGGAAGAACACCAGUGGAGAAGGCGACUCACUGGCCCAAUACUGACGCUGAGGCGCGAAAGCGUGGGGAGCAAACAGGAUUAGAUACCCGUGUAGUCC